CAAGAGGGAAGUUUUGUAAAAUCAACAGGAAGAAUUGCUCAGAUACCCGUGAGCGUAUAUAACUUGGGUCGUGUUAUAAAUGCUCUGGCUAAACCUAUUGAUGGGAGAGGCGAAAUUGUAGCUUCCGAAUCUCGCUUAAUUGAAUCUCCUGCUCCAAGUAGAAUUUCCAGGCGUUCCGUAUAUGAACCUCUUCAAACAGGGCUUAUUGCUAUCGAUUCGAUGAUCCCUAUAGGGCGCGGUCAGCGAGAGUUCAUUAUUGGGGACAGACAGACUGGCAAAACAGCAGUAGCCACAGAUACAAUUCUCAAGAAAAAAGGGCAAGGUGUAAUAUGUGUUUAUGUAGCUAUCGGUCAAAGAGCAUCCUCCGUAGCUCAAGUAGUAACUACUUUCCAUGAGGAGGGGGCCAUGGAAUACACUAUUGUAGUAGCUGAAAUGGCGGAUUCACCUGCUACAUUACAAUACCUCGCUCCUUAUACGGGAGCAGCCCUGGCUGAGUAUUUUAUGUACCGCGAACGGCAUACUUUAAUAAUUUAUGAUGAUCUCUCCAAACAGGCACAAGCUUAUCGCCAAAUGUCCCUUCUAUUAAGAAGACCUCCCGGCCGUGAGGCUUAUCCAGGGGAUGUUUUUUAUUUGCAUUCACGCCUUUUAGAAAGAGCCGCUAAAUUAAAUUCUCUUUUAGGCGAAGGAAGUAUGACCUCUUUACCAAUAGUUGAGACUCAAUCUGGAGACGUUUCCGCCUAUAUUCCUACUAAUGUAAUCUCCAUUACAGAUGGACAAAUAUUCUUAUCUGCGGAUCUAUUCAAUGCCGGAAUUCGACCCGCUAUUAAUGUGGGUAUUUCUGUUUCCAGAGUAGGAUCCGCGGCUUAA
rnacentral:rRNA from 1 species